AGCGGAGGAAAAGAAACCAACAGGGAUUGCCCUAGUAACGGCGAGUGAAGCGGCAACAGCUCAAAUUUGAAAGCUGGCCUUCGGGUCCGCAUUGUAAUUUGUAGAGGAUGCUUUGGGUGAAACGCCAGUCUAAGUUCCUUGGAACAGGACGUCAUAGAGGGUGAGAAUCCCGUAUGUGACUGGAAAUGUUAACCUAUGUAAAGCUCCUUCGACGAGUCGAGUUGUUUGGGAAUGCAGCUCUAAAUGGGAGGUAAAUUUCUUCUAAAGCUAAAUAUUGGCGAGAGACCGAUAGCGCACAAGUAGAGUGAUCGAAAGAUGAAAAGCACUUUGGAAAGAGAGUUAAAAAGCACGUGAAAUUGUUGAAAGGGAAGCGCUUGCAAUCAGACUUGUUUAAACUGUUCGGCCGGUCUUCUGACCGGUUUACUCAGUUUGGACAGGCCAGCAUCAGUUUCGGCGGCCGGAUAAAGGCUCUGGGAAUGUGGCCUUCACUUCGGUGAAGGUGUUAUAGCCCAGGGUGUAAUACGGCCAGCCGGGACUGAGGUCCGCGCUCGGCUAGA
rnacentral:rRNA from 1 species